rnacentral:tRNA from 1 species
GCUCCUAUAGUGUAGUGGUUAUCACUCGGGACUUUGAAUCCCGAAACUCCGGUUCGAAUCCGGAUAGGAGCU